UUUUAGCGACGCGUUUAUCGUACAAUUUAAUCAGUUUAACAUAGCGAAAGUUGUGAAAAAUUAAUAAAAACCGGUAGCGGCUAAUAUUGUCUGUUGUGUGUUGUGUGUUUGAAUAGCGCAGAGCUAGUAAAAUGCGCAGCGAUUCCAGUGUUCAGCUUCGAAACCCAACAGAAACACUCUUAACCUGCGAGAACUUUCAUAGCAAACUAAUUUUUGUACCAGAAACCCCCUGAUCCGAUCCCGAAUCCAAAAUCCCAAACUCUCCUACCACACCAGCAUCAGCGGCAGUGAACAAAAAAAAAAAA